rnacentral:ncRNA from 2 species
CGACCCCGCGCGGGAGAGCCCCCAAGGCAGGAGCGGGGGCGCCGAAGGAGCAAAUCCUCCCCGGAAUCUCUCAGGCACCCGUACCGCACGGACGAG